rnacentral:rRNA from 1 species
GAUGAACGCUGGCGGCGUGCCUAAUACAUGCAAGUCGAGCGAACAGAUAAGGAGCUUGCUCCUUUGACGUUAGCGGCGGACGGGUGAGUAACACGUGGGUAACCUACCUAUAAGACUGGGAUAACUUCGGGAAACCGGAGCUAAUACCGGAUAACAUUUGGAACCGCAUGGUUCUAAAGUGAAAGAGGGUUUUGCUAUCACUUAUAGAUGGACCCUCGCCGUAUUAGCUAGUUGGUAAGGUAACGGCUUACCAAGGCGACGAUACGUAGCCGACCUGAGAGGGUGAUCGGCCACACUGGAACUGAGACACGGUCCAGACUCCUACGGGAGGCAGCAGUAGGGAAUCUUCCGCAAUGGGCGAAAGCCUGACGGAGCAACGCCGCGUGCGUGAUGAAGGGUUUCGGCUCGUAAAACUCUGUUAUUAGGGAAGAACAAACGUGUAAGUACCUGUGCACGUCUUGACGGUACCUAAUCAGACAGCCACGGCUAACUACGUG